UAAAGAAAUGCAGCACAGACCCCAUUGUCUAGGAUGCCUUCUCUUGUUGCUUGUUUGGCUUUGCCAUCAAUGUCACUAUGAAGACAAAUUGCAGAUGAGUGCAACACAAGUAUCUCAUGACUUGACAUUACACCAGGAGAUUCACAGAAAUAGUGAGUGCAAUAAAAUAUAGGUCAUGUGCUCAACAGCUGGAUGUACAUGCAAGUACACACAAAGAUUUUGUCCAGGGUUGCAAAAAAGAAUCAAACACAUAUUUGGAAAAGAAAUGAUCUGCCAUAAACUCCAUACACCUCACCCCAAAAAGAGAAUCCUCACAAUCUCAACUCCAGACCAUGAAGGAAGAGGAUGUUCAUUGAAACCCCUUUGGAAAAGCAGCUUCAUUUCUACUUCUUCAGAGGAUAAUGGAAGGAACAGACUGUCCCUGCCUCAUGGAGAAGGUUCCCAGGUUGUGCUUCUUCAUGCACUG
rnacentral:lncRNA from 1 species